rnacentral:rRNA from 1 species
GAGUUUGAUCCUGGCUCAGAACGAACGCUGGCGGCAGGCCUAACACAUGCAAGUCGAGCGAGACCUUCGGGUCUAGCGGCGGACGGGUUAGUAACGCGUGGGAACGUACCCUUUUCUGCAGGAUAGCCACUGGAAACGGUGAGUAAUACCGCAUACGCCCUUCGGGGGAAAGAUUUAUCGGAGAAGGAUCGGCCCGCGUUAGAUUAGAUAGUUGGUGGGGUAACGGCCUACCAAGUCUACGAUCUAUAGCUGGUUUGAGAGGAUGAUCAGCAACACUGGGACUGAGACACGGCCCAGACUCCUACGGGAGGCAGCAGUGGGGAAUCUUAGACAAUGGGCGCAAGCCUGAUCUAGCCAUGCCGCGUGAGUGAUGAAGGCCUUAGGGUCGUAAAGCUCUUUCGCCUGUGAAGAUAAUGACUGUAGCAGGUAAAGAAACCCCGGCUAACUCCGUGCCAGCAGCCGCGGUAAUACGGAGGGGGUUAGCGUUGUUCGGAAUUACUGGGCGUAAAGCGCGCGUAGGCGGACAUUUAAGUCAGAGGUGAAAUCCCAGGGCUCAACCCUGGAACUGCCUUUGAUACUGGGUGUCUUGAGUUCGAGAGAGGUGAGUGGAAUUCCGAGUGUAGAGGUGAAAUUCGUAGAUAUUCGGAGAAACACCAGUGGCGAAGGCGGCUCACUGGCUCGAUACUGACGCUGAGGUGCGAAAGUGUGGGGAGCAAACAGGAUUAGAUACCCUGGUAGUCCACACCGUAAACGAUGAAUGCCAGUCGUCGGGUAGUAUACUAUUCGGUGACACACCUAACGGAUUAAGCAUUCCGCCUGGGGAGUACGGUCGCAAGAUUAAAACUCAAAGGAAUUGACG